CCAAUAGCGUAUAUUAAAGUUGUUGCAGUUAAAAAGCUCGUAGUUGAAUUUCGGGAUCAAUAUAUCGGUCGUGCCAUUGUUACGUACUGGUAUCAUUGGUUUCUCCUUUCUGACGAACCAUGAUGUCAUUAAUUUGGUGUUAUGGGAAGUUAGGACUGUUACUUUGAAAAAAUUAGAGUGUUUAAAGCAGGCUUUAGCUUGAAUACAUUAGCAUGGAAUAAUGAAAUAGGACGUUCGAACCUAUUUUGUUGGUUUCUAGGAUCAACGUAAUGAUUAAUAGGGAUAGUUUGGGGCAUUAGUAUUCAAUUGUCAGAGGUGAAAUUCUUGGAUUUAUUGAAGACUAACUACUGCGAAAGCAUUUGCGAAGGAUGUUUUCAUUAAUCAAGAACGGAAGUUAGGGGAUCGAAGACGAUCAGAUACCGUCGUAGUCUUAACCAUAAACUAUGCCGACUAGGGAUCGGAUGAUGUUAAUUUUUUAAUGACUCAUUCGGCGCCUUACG
rnacentral:rRNA from 1 species